GGGGUAUUAGCGCAGUUGGUAGCGCGCGACAUUCGCAUUGUCGAGGCCAGGGGUUCGACUCCCCUAUACUCCACCA
rnacentral:tRNA from 1 species